CCUACGGGUGGCAGCAGUCGAGAAUCAUUCACAAUGGGGGAAACCCUGAUGGUGCGACGCCGCGUGGGGGAAUGAAGGUCUUCGGAUUGUAAACCCCUGUCAUGUGGGAGCAAAUUAAAAAGAUCGUACCACACGAGGAAGAGACGGCUAACUCUGUGCCAGCAGCCGCGGUAAUACAGAGGUCUCAAGCGUUGUUCGGAAUAACUGGGCGUAAAGCGUGCGUAGGCUGUUUCGUAAGUCGUGUGUGAAAGGCGCGGGCUCAACCCGCGGACGGCACAUGAUACUGCGAGACUAGAGUAAUGGAGGGGGAACCGGAAUUCUCGGUGUAGCAGUGAAAUGCGUAGAUAUCGAGAGGAACACUCGUGGCGAAGGCGGGUUCCUGGACAGUAACGGACGCUGAGGCACGAAGGCCAGGGGAGCGAAAGGGAUUAGAUACCCGAGUAGUC
rnacentral:rRNA from 1 species